UAACCGUAUAGGGGAGCCGCAGGGAAACCGAGUCUUAACUGGGCGUUAAGUUGCAGGGUAUAGACCCGAAACCCGGUGAUCUAGCCAUGGGCAGGUUGAAGGUUGGGUAACACUAACUGGAGGACCGAACCGACUAAUGUUGAAAAAUUAGCGGAUGACUUGUGGCUGGGGGUGAAAGGCCAAUCAAACCGGGAGAUAGCUGGUUCUCCCCGAAAGCUAUUUAGGUAGCGCCUCGUGAACUCAUCUUCGGGGGUAGAGCACUGUUUCGGCUAGGGGGUCAUCCCGACUUACCAACCCGAUGCAAACUACGAAUACCGAAGAAUGUUAUCACGGGAGACACACGGCGGGUGCUAACGUCCGUCGUGAAGAGGGAAACAACCCAGACCGCCAGCUAAGGUCCCAAAGUCAUGGUUAAGUGGGAAACGAUGUGGGAAGGCACAGACAGCCAGGAUGUUGGCUUAGAAGCAGCCAUCAUUUAAAGAAAGCGUAAUAGCUCACUGGUCGAGUCGGCCUGCGCGGAAGAUGUAACGGGGCUAAACCAUGCACCGAAGCUGCGGCAGCGACACUAUGUGUUGUUGGGUAGGGGAGCGUUCUGUAAGCCUGCGAAGGUGACCUGUGAGGGUUGCUGGAGGUAUCAGAAGUGCGAAUGCUGACAUAAGUAACGAUAAAGCGGGUGAAAAGCCCGCUCGCCGGAAGACCAAGGGUUCCUGUCCAACGUUAAUCGGGGCAGGGUGAGUCGACCCCUAAGGCGAGGCCGAAAGGCGUAGUCGAUGGGAAACAGGUUAAUAUUCCUGUACUUGGUGUUACUGCGAAGGGGGGACGGAGAAGGCUAUGUUAGCCGGGCGACGGUUGUCCCGGUUUAAGCAUGUAGGCUGAUUAUCCAGGCAAAUCCGGAUAAUCAAGGCUGAGGUGUGAUGACGAGGCACUACGGUGCUGAAGUAACAAAUGCCCUGCUUCCAGGAAAAGCCUCUAAGCAUCAGGUAACAUUAAAUCGUACCCCAAACCGACACAGGUGGUCAGGUAGAGAAUACCAAGGCGCUUGAGAGAACUCGGGUGAAGGAACUAGGCAAAAUGGUGCCGUAACUUCGGGAGAAGGCACGCUGGUGUGUAGGUGAAGCCCCUGCGGGUGGAGCUGAGACCAGUCGAAGAUACCAGCUGGCUGCAACUGUUUAUUAAAAACACAGCACUGUGCAAACACGAAAGUGGACGUAUACGGUGUGACGCCUGCCCGGUGCCGGAAGGUUAAUUGAUGGGGUUAUCCGUAAGGAGAAGCUCUUGAUCGAAGCCCCGGUAAACGGCGGCCGUAACUAUAACGGUCCUAAGGUAGCGAAAUUCCUUGUCGGGUAAGUUCCGACCUGCACGAAUGG
rnacentral:rRNA from 1 species